rnacentral:lncRNA from 1 species
UGGGCCCCAAAGGGCAUAAACAUUACAACAUCAAUAAUUUUUUCAUAAUACAAUACAAACAAUGAGAUAAUAAAAAAAAAAAAAAGUUAAACGAGAACUAUUUAAGUUCUUAAAGAAUACGUAGAUAAAGAAUCUAUAGUAUGUUUUUUUUUUUUUUUUUUAAUACUAAUGCAUUUUAUUGCAAGUGUGGUUGAUAUAGAUAACAAACAAGCAGCCCAAAAAGAAAAAAAGAAAAAUAGAUAUCCACAUAUGUAUAGUACACAAAAAGUUGGAUCAAUUAAAUAUAUAAUAAUUAGCCAAAAAGAAAGUAGAAAUUAAACAUGUCCAUGACUCAUCCUGUGUCAGCAGCAAAUAGGAAAGCAUUAUGGUUUCCUAAAGGCAGCUGACACCAGGGGGCGAUACCUUAUGGGCCAUAGGCAUGUAAAAUGUGUGUAAAUGUCUCUUUCCUACCUGUAUCAAAAGCAAACAAGGAAGCAUCAUAGGUAACUUGAAUGCAGUUGAUACCAGGGGACGAUGCCUCAAGGAUAUAAGAGAACAUUUGAAUAAAUAAUAUAUCUUAACAAUUAUUUUUUUUUUUUAAUCGGCUAGUAUGUUUGUGAUAUUCAGAUGAAUAUAAUUUUCUAUGUCCAAUCAAAUGUAUAUACACACAUAGAUUUCCUUUAACUAAUCUUCACUAAGGAAGAUGUUUGUAUAUAAAAUUACAUAUUAUUUUAAGUAACUCAACAUUUUCUACACUAAAUAACCAG